CUGACAGUUACCUACUAGCAUCCCUGUGAACUGGCGCCCUACAGAACAGACUCUGGACAACUGCACAUGCUGACGCUGCUGUGGGAAGUGAUCUUUCUUUCUCUUGUGUCCUGUGAUCUUCCUCUUCCUUCAAAAUUCACACUCUGUGCAUCUCUCCACCAUUAUACCUGUCGCCCACUCUGGGGGAGGAGAGCUGUCAUGUUGUGAGAAUAUCCAAAGAGUCUUGAAAGAGGCACCCAUGGGGAUGAAGUGAGACAUCCUGUCAACAGCCAGCAUGAACUUGCCAGCCAUGGGAAAGAUCCAUCAAGGAAAGUGCAUCUUCCAGCCCCUGCCAAGCCUUCAGUUUUUUAGCACCAUCUCUAACACAAGUGUUGAGUUACUGGCCCAUUACCUGGAAACAAAAGUGAACCCAAGAGACUCAGUGAAUUAUUAAGAACAUCAUUUACAGAGGGAGGUAAUGUCAAUGGAGAAGGUUGAUUGAAAAGCAUCUUUGUCUCACUGGGAAAGUGGAAGAGAGUGUGAAGAAGAGACUGGGGGACUUGACUUGUCAACAAGGAGAACAGUGAGAACACCCCGCAGACAAUGCCGUAUCUGUCUGUGGCCUGGCAUAGGAUGUCCCUAAGAAAGCCACCGGGAAACUGGCUGCUGCUAAUUGAAAAUGGUUCUAGCAGUGCUUGAAUGUGGCAAUGUUCUGUUGUAUUGUGUAGAAUAACAAAAAUAGAGGCAUUUGGGAAGGAAAAUAGACCAUGACAUCUAAGAGAUGUGCUUCUACCAGACACCAUUUCUCUCCUCCCUUUCCCCAGAGUGUUUCAAGUUUAGGUUUUCAGCUUCUUGAAUAAGUGACAAUGGUUUUUUACCA